GCUCCCGCUUGGGGACCAAAGUGAUCUGAACCGACAACAUUGCACUGGCGAGGAUGAAAGCGCGAAAAUGAUCAAGAGCAGCGGCUUUCCUCUGAUCAGUAGGGCACAGCUUUGAUACAGCCGCCCUCUCUGGUCCGGACUACAAUGCCCCCAUUCAGGCAAUGAUGAGCGCUCAUAACCCCCUUCUUGAUUUCCCUUUGCUUGCUUCCUCUUUUGCUUUCACAGAUAGAGCC